AUUGAACGCUGGCGGCAGGCCUAACACAUGCAAGUCGAACGAGUGGCGGACGGGUGAGUAAUGUAUGGGAAACUGCCUGAUGGAGGGGGAUAACUACUGGAAACGGUAGCUAAUACCGCAUACCAUCAGAUGUGCCCAGAUGGGAUUAGCUAGUUGGUGGGGUAACGGCUCACCAAGGCGACGAUCCCUAGCUGGUCUGAGAGGAUGACAGGCCACACUGGAACUGAGACACGGUCCAGACUCCUACGGGAGGCAGCAGUGGGGAAUAUUGCACAAUGGGCGCAAGCCUGAUGGAGCAAUGCCGAGUGAAUGAAGAAGGCUUUCGGGUUGUAAAGUACUUUCAGCGGGGAGGCGUGACCCGCAGAAUAAGCACCGGCUAACUCCGUGCCAGCAGCCGCGGUAAUUC
rnacentral:rRNA from 1 species